GAAAUGCGAUAAGUAAUGCGAAUUGCAGAUUUCAGUGAAUCAUCGAAUCUUUGAACGCACAUUGCGCCCACCAGCACUCUGGCGGGCAUGCCUGUUCGAGCGUCAUUUCAACCAUCAAGCCCCCGGGCUUGCGUUGGGGACCUGCGGCUGCCCGCAGGCCCUGAAAACCAGUGGCGGGCUCGCUGUCACCCCGGUCGCAGUUGUAUCAUCUCGUCCAGGGCUUGGCUGCGGGCUCCGGCCGUUAAACCUUCUCAUACCCAAAGGUUGACCUCGGACCAGGUCGGAAUACCCGCCGAACUUAA
rnacentral:misc_RNA from 1 species